rnacentral:rRNA from 1 species
AACGAACGCUGGCGGCAUGCCUAACACAUGCAAGUCGAACGGGAUCCUGGUUUCGGCCAGGUGAGAGUGGCGGACGGGUGAGUAACGCGUGGGAACCUGCCCAGUGGUGGGGGAUAACUGCGGGAAACUGCAGCUAAUACCGCAUGAGCCCGAAAGGGGAAAGAUUGAUCGCCAUUGGAGGGGCCCGCGUUCGAUUAGGUAGUUGGUGAGGUAACGGCUCACCAAGCCUUCGAUCGAUAGCUGGUCUGAGAGGAUGAUCAGCCACACUGGGACUGAGAUACGGCCCAGACUCCUACGGGAGGCAGCAGUGGGGAAUAUUGGACAAUGGGGCAACCCUGAUCCAGCAAUGCCGCGUGAGUGAUGAAGGCCUUC